CCUACGGGUGGCUGCAGUCGAGAAUCAUUCACAAUGGGGGGAACCCUGAUGGUGCGACGCCGCGUGAGGGAAUGAAGGUCUUCGGCUUGUAAACCCCUGUCAUGUGGGAGCAAAGUAAGAAGAUAGUACCACAAGGAGAAGCGACGACUAACUAUGUGCCAGCAGCCGCGGUAAGACGGAGGUCUCAAGAGUUGUUCGGAAGCAAUGGGCGUAAAGCGUGCGGAGGCUGUUUCGUAAGUCGUGUGUGAAAGGCGAGGGCGCAACCCGCGGACGGCACAUGAUACUGGGAGACUAGAGUAAUGGAGGGGGAACCGGAAUUCUCGGUGUAGCAGUGAAAUGCGUAGAUAUCGAGAGGAACACUCGUGGCGAAGGCGGGUUCCUGGACAUUAACUGACGCUGAGGCACGAAGGCCAGGGGAGCGAAAGGGAUUAGAUACCCCAGUAGUC
rnacentral:rRNA from 1 species